UGUCUUAGAGCCAUCAGAGUGAGCAUGAUAU
rnacentral:piRNA from 1 species